UGUUCCAGAUCCUGAAGAGGUUAGCGUUCCCGAGUCUGAAGAAGUAAAUCUGCUCCCCCAAUCUGAGGUGACUGGACCUGGUAAGGAGGUCAUCCAAGAAAGUGCUGAAACCGCUGCUAACGUUGUGAAGCUGCAAAGUAACAUAGACCUUGAAGACCAGUUUGUACUGAUCCCACAAGCUGCUGAAAUUCAACCAGAAAUCUUGAAUUCCAUGCAAUGUCAAGGCAGGGAUGCUAUUAGUUCUGCAGAUAUUGAGUCCCCUGCAGCAGAGGACAAUUUUGAAAUACUUGAAGGAGCUGCCACAGAAAAUCCACGAAGUUCAGAAGAAGUAAAUCUGUUCCCCCAAUCUGAGGUGAGUGGACCUGGUAAGUCAACACAAGAGGCCAUCCAAGAAAGUGCUGAAACCGCUGCUAACGUUGUGAAGCUGCAAAGUAACAUAGACCUUGAAGACCAGUUUGUACUGAUCCCAAAAGCUGCUGAAAUUCAACCAGAAAUCUUGAAUUCCAUGCAAUCUCAAGGCAGAGAUGAUAUUAGUUCUGCAGAUAUUGAGUCCCUUGUAGCAGAGGACAAUUUUGAAAUACUUGAAGGAGC
rnacentral:lncRNA from 1 species